UGGGGAAUAUUGGACAAUGGGCGAAAGCCUGAUCCAGCCAUGCCGCGUGUGUGAAGAAGGUCUUCGGAUUGUAAAGCACUUUAAGUUGGGAGGAAGGGCAGUAAGCGAAUACCUUGCUGUUUUGACGUUACCGACAGAAUAAGCACCGGCUAACUCUGUGCCAGCAGCCGCGGUAAUACAGAGGGUGCAAGCGUUAAUCGGAAUUACUGGGCGUAAAGCGCGCGUAGGUGGUUCGUUAAGUUGAAUGUGAAAGCCCCGGGCUCAACCUGGGAACUGCAUCCAAAACUGGCGAGCUAGAGUAGGGCAGAGGGUGGUGGAAUUUCCUGUGUAGCGGAGAAAUGCGUAGAUAUAGGAAGGAACACCAGUGGCGGAGGCGACCACCUGGGCUCAUACUGACACUGAGGUGCGAAAGCGUGGGGAGCAAACAGG
rnacentral:rRNA from 1 species